rnacentral:lncRNA from 1 species
AACGGCUCUUCUUCGAGUCUUCUCAGAGGUUGGAGAUUCCCUGUCUUCUCCAACCUCUGCCAAGUCUUCAGAGAGGUUGGAGUGCGCCUGUCGGAGGUACUAGACCCCAGAUGAGGAUCUCAGGAAGAUCCACAAAGCUGCGUCCAGGGGAACGAACGUGUGGAAGCUGCAGCGGAGCCUCCUGCUCAAGAGUAAAGGACCGGUCUGAAACCUACAAGAACAGGACACAUAUUGCUUGUCUCUGAACUUCUCAGCUGCCUGCAGAUCUUCCUGUUUUUCAGCUGCAGUUAGGGUUUGUCUGAGGAGAAGCAUAACAUCCCUCCAGGCCAAAUGCUCCACAAAUAAAUGUGUUGAAUGAAUGAACAAAUGAAUAAGCGAAGUGAAUGGAACAUCAAACUGCAUAAAAAUAUAUUUAUUCAUAAAUGAGAGGUGAUGAUUGCCAACAUAUCAUAAUCAGACUCUGACCUUGGUUACUUAUGAGUUUGACAACGAAGAGGAAAGAGGAUCAGGUAAGUCCCUAAACACCGAAGAUGUACUGAGACCUUUCCACAUGCCCAAAGAAGAUACUCUUGCAGAGGAGAAAUGAUGAAGAGGCCCAGUCACAGAUGCAGGAGGAAGUUUAAUUGACUGAAUUUGUCUAGGAUGGGAGGGAUUAAAUGAGGUUUGAAAUGAAAUAGAAAUUGCUAAACUCCUGACUAGACAAUUACUGCCAUCCAUCUCUUACAUGUGCCCCUAAAUAAGCACUAACAGUGCCUUGGGCAGAGACCCCAGUGACUACCUAAUAGUAGCCUUCAAGAGCAUCACUUCCCACUCUCCUGCCCUGCCUCACUUUCCUCCUAGGUCUUAUGGGAUGGAUGAUAGAUGUCAUUCCCUGGUUCCCUAACGCUCAAGUCUAGCCCCUCAUUUCCUGGCAAGCAUCAAGCUUGAUUGUGUCUGUAACCUCUCAGAAGUCAGACCUCAGAAGUGUGCUUUUCUGGGAAAUCGGGGUCAGGGAGGAAAGAAGGAGGGAAUAAAGACAUUGUAAUAGAUUUAUAUAUAUCAUUGUAACUCAUCCACACAACAAUCCUGUAAGGUGUGGCCACUGUACUCAGAAAACUGAGGCUCAAAGAGAUUGAGUAACUUACCAAAACUUCACAUGUACUAAAAGUGGAGCCUAGAUUUCAAACACCUGUAAGACUCUGAAAUCUAUAUUAGCUCUUCUAUACAUGAGCCUAAAAUGCAACUGUAAACCAAUAA